UAUUUUGUCACGUUUCUCUUGUCACUGUUAACAACAGAACAAAGGAUUAUUUGAGAGAGGAUAUGGAAACUUAAAAAUAUAGACAAAAGAUGGUCUCUACACAGUAGAAUAUGUACACCUCAACGAAGAUACAUAGGACAGUCCACUUGAUUCAGCGAAUGAUGUGGUUCUACCAUCAUUUGUGGUGCAUUUAAAAACAGAGAUGAUGAAUCAGCCCCAUUCAGCAGCAGCGUGAUUUGUCCAACGUCCUUUAUUAACAUACUUUAAGUGGUUUCACCUGUAUCAUGUUUAGUGAGAAAGUUCAUGCCUAUCUUAUCACUAGAGUAAGGCGUUGUCCAAGUCUCUCUGGGGUUCAUGAUUCUUACCUCUGAAUUCAAAGCUAGACAGUUUCUUCAGGCAUAGAUGGUCCCAUGUAGAGACACGUGUGGAGGAGUUGGCAUUCUGUAGCAGAAAGUCAGCACGUGUCCCUAUUGUGAGACACAGCUGUUGAUGUCAUAAUUGCUGCUGUUGCAUCAUUUCUUUUCAUUGGUCCAUGACCUUGGUAUGCCUACAAUUAUCGCUGGGACUGAACCAGUCCUAUAGGCCAAGCUGCUCCAAAUGCUGAGUAUGAACGCCCUAGAAAAUGCACCUGAUGAUGAUGAGUUCAAUGUAAAUUCUGUGUGGGAUUAAUUUGUCAGACCAACCACUGUGCAGAUACAUCAAUGCUGAAGAAAUGCCUUAAGUUUACUCUUAAGGAAAUACUUGCAGAAUAUCAGUGAAAUACCUUGUUGUAUAACAGUUUUUUAAAGGUGUAUUUAUUUAUUUGUUUGUUUGUUUGUUUAUUUAUCUUUUUAUGUAUGUGAGAACACAGUUGCUCUCUUCAAACAGAGGGGGGCGUCAGAUCCCAUUACAGAUGGUUACAUGUGGUUGCUGGGAAUUGAACUCAGGACCUCUGGAAGGGCAUUCACUGCUCUAAACAGCUGAGGUAUCUCUCCAGCCGUGGAUAUCAAGAUUUUAAAAGGGUAUUUAACUUAGUUUAAAAGAGUUUCUUAGUUAAAAAUGUUAAUUUCUUUUUAUCAAAUUCCUUAUGAGAGAUAACACAUUCUAAUUUUUCCUUCCUUAUAAUUUCCAAUCUUUUGCUAAUCCCAUUAUAUUGCAACUAUGUUCUGCCAAAAUCUAAAGAUGAUUUAAAUUGAAGCUAGUUCAACAUAAAAGUUAAUUAGUGAAUUAUACUCAAUCAUUAUUCUGUAAGCAUAGACAUUUGUCUAAUAUUGGGCUUUGUGUUACUGAAGGCACAUAUUAACUAAUUCUUUUGGGAAAUUUUUUUGUUCUCUAUAUGGAUUUUUUCUUUUCCUUUAGCUUUCUCAAAAACUUUGGGAGUUGCUUUUCUAUUUGUAUAUUUGAAAUAGGAUGAACCUGGAAAUAAGAAACAUUAGUAUAAAAUAUAAUCAGUUAAUUGUUGGAUUUUAAAAGAACACAAACCUUUAACUAAUUUAAUAGCAAUACAAAUAUUUUGGUUAAUGUUCUGAACCAUAUUAUUAAGAACACAUAGUGGUUUGCUUAGAAAGAUAAUUAAAAUUCAAUGACCUAUUAUACUUAAUUUAUUUCAUGAUAUUAAGAAUAUGAACAUUCAUUUUCUCACUAGAACAGAUUGUAAUAAAACUCAGGGAGGGGUGAAGGAGACGAUGGCCCGGGUUCAGUCCCUGGAGCCCAUGUGAAAGGCCAGGUGUGGCAUUUGUCUGCAAACUCAGCACUCUUAGAGUGAAGUGGGAAGUGGAAACACAGAAAGAACAGGAGAGACCUUGACUCAAGUCAAAACAAGCACCCAAGACAAAUGAUUCCCCUAUCUGCAAAGUCCUACGACCUCUCAUGGGAAAGUUAUGGCAUACGCACACAGACACACAGACACACAGACAUACGUAUAAGAGAGAGAGAGAGAGAGAGAGAGAGAGAGAGAGACAGAGAGACAGAGAGACAGAGAGAGACAGAGAGAGACAGAGAGAGAGACAGAGAGAGACAGAGAGACAGAGACAAUCAGAACACACUAAAAAUAAAUAAAAACAAAAAAUAUCCACAGAAUUUUCACUCUAUUUUAGACUGCUACCCUUAGGAGAAUAGGUUUACAAUAUAUUAAGAAUAUAGUAAUUCAGUUUUUCCUUUCCUAUCAAGCUGACUUUGAGCAAACCUAUUAUAUAAAAGAUAACUCUUUUAUUUAUGAAUCAUAUUUAAUGAAUUGUAUUGAUUUCAUUUCCAAAAGAAGUCAUAAAGUUAGAAACAUCCACACAUUUAUAGACACAAACCUAGAGAAGCAAAAAUGUAUAGAAUUCAGGAAGAGUGUAGGCAACCUGGGGGUUUCGGCCGAGAGCCUCCGUGUUACAAAAUAAAUCACCAAUAAAAAUACCCUAAUGGGACAUUUGAGGAGCAUAAUUAGAUGCAGAAACUAAGACAUUUUCUAUAAUCAAGCAUUAUAAUUAUGCUUAAAAGAUAUCCAAAUGCCACUCUUCUAAACUUGUUUGAUAGGCAGCCACUGCGGUUCCUAGGAGGCAGAUAGUAAUUGUCCCCAUUCAGAGUAGUAAUUUAUUGCACGUUGAACAAAAUGAACUAAUGUUAUGUUCUCGGUGAUUAAUAUUGCAGAUACUUUCUAUAAGGUAAAAUAUAAGAUUAAGAAUAAUGCACUGCACAACUCAAUCAAUACUAGUUAAAGGCCAGUAUUUGGAAAAUGCUUUGCGACUGUAGAAAGGCGCAGUGCCGAAGAGGCAGGCUCUGGUGUGCUUUAUUUGCUCCAACUUCCCUAUGCCGUUGACAUUCAUCCACGGUCACACAGGAUGGGUCUGCAUAGUUAGGUGACAAUCAUUUUACACUUCAACCCAUUUGUCUAGAAAUGGUUCUCAACCUUUGUUAUGCUGUGACCCUCUAAGAUCAUUCCCCAGAGAAGUGCUUGCUGACAGGAGUCAGAUAUGGGUUGCCUCCUGAGAGGCUCUGCCAGAGCCUUACUGGUGCAGAUGAGGAUGCUUGCAGCUAAUCAUUGGAAUAAACAAGAGGACCCCAAUGGAGGAGAUAGAGAAAGGACUGAAGGAGCUGAAGGGGUUUGCAACACAAUAGAAAGAACAACAAAAUCAACCAACCAGACGACACCAGAGCUCCCAGGGACUAAACCACCAACCAAUGAGCACAUAUAGAGGGACCCAUGAUGCCACUCAUGUAUGUGGCAGAGGAUGGCAUUGUCCAGCAUCAGUGGGAGGAAAAGCCCUUGAUUCUGUGAAGGCUCAUUUCCCCAAAGUAGGGUAAUACCUGGGCAUUGAGGUUGGAGUGGGUGGGUGGGAGUGGGAGCAUCCUACAGAAGCAUAGGGAAGGGGAUGGGAGAGGAGGGAAAAGGGAUAACAUUUGAAAUGUAAAUACAUAAAAUAUCCAAGAAAAGUAAAAUUAUAAAAAAGAUAGUUCCUCAAAUGCACAUGACAGUUUGACAUAGGUGUAGGCAGUAGCAUUUCUCUCAUUCUCAUUUAACAUCAGCCUUUACAUUAUUGAGUUCACUGCACGCCAGAGUUUAUAAAUCUAUCUAAGUUCUUAAAUGGGGGAAAGGUAAAGCUGCUGCUUUUGUAAGAGUCCACGAUUAAUGGUAGACAGAGAAUAGACAAACAUUUAAUGGCCCAUUAGCAAGUGUGUGUUAGUAAGACGGCUAUAGCGAGGAAGGUCUAGAGAGCACAUGUGUGUGUGUGCAUAUGUGUGCAGCGUACCUUACUGGAAGAGUGGCCAUGCUCAUAUCAUCACUGAGCACUUCAUGCAGGUAUCAGGGACAAACGUUCUAGGUAUAGAUAGCAUCAUGUGUGGAGAGAUCUUGAUGACAUUUUAAAAAGCAAUAAAAAGUGUUUAUAUACCUGGAUUGUAAUGAAAGAAAAGAGCAGAAAGGGGUCAGUUUGUAAGAACAUUCUGGAAGGUCUUGUGAGAUCUUUUUUUUUUUUAUUUUAAGUGUUAUCAUAAAAUAACAUUGAAAAUUAAAAAAAAAAAACUAGCCAGAGCCAAGGGCAAUACAACACAACAGAUUGCUAGACAGUUAAGAAUGAGAGAUGUGGGGCUUCACAUUAAAUUUUAUACUUCUCUAUCAAAUAUAUUUGUAUGCCCUUAUACACUACUAAAAUGAAGAACGCACGAAAGAGAUGGAACUAGAAAAACCAAUUCGUUUUGUAUCCCCUUCAGGACUCGUGUUAUUACCUGUAUUCUGUUCCUCCUUAUCUUCUAACAUGUGGAACCAGCCAGAAACACACCCUUUAUGUCAAUGAAUGCCCGCGUUGGUGCGGUACAGCAGGAAGAAAGGGAACACGUGGAUCGUUUGUUCUCAUUGUAAACGAGUCAGACCGACUCUGAAGUGUCCCAGCAGGCAGAGGUGUUACCCAGAUGCACAGUAAUACGACUCUAGGACGGCCGUGAUUGAGCAGCUGUCAGGACGUAGGCAGACACCACAUCGGGAACGAUGAGGAGGCUGCCCCAUUCAUCCCUAGUUUUCUGUUACUCAAGGUGUGGUUGCUGACCAUUAUCUGGACCUGCCUAGAGAUACGAAGCACUGCCCCUGAAAGAUGAAAACACAUGGAGCUAAGGCCGUUGAGGCAAAGGUGUGAGUGAAUGAUGGGGACCCUGACUAUGUUUUUGGGUGAUAGCUUGUUAAUGUUUUGCUCGUAAGAGGAUGGAGGAUGAUAACUAGAGUGCUUUUUAUUUCAAAAAUGAAAACUGAAGGAUUUCAUAGAUAGGUUGGAAAACAGAAAUUUGGUUAGAAACCACGUUUGGCAUCCGGGAAAGAGGGGGAUAUACCUUGUCUUUGGCUACCAGGAAAUAAACAAGAGAUAAUAUUUAGAAUAUAGUUUUUCAUUUCCUUAAUGAGGUACCAACCUUUUUUCAAACAAUUGAAUUCUGGCAGGAAUUUGCUUACAUUCCAGCUUUAUGAAGCAGAGCUACAGUACUGCAUUAUAUGCAGAGGGCCUGGGUUACACCCACGCAGGCUUAUUGUCAGUUCCGUCUCUAUGAGCCCCCAUGGGUCCAGGCUAGUUGAUUCCUGUAGGUUUUUUAUGUGGUGUCCUUGACCACUCUGGCUUUGAAAUCCAUCCUCACCUUCAUCCAGGGCAUUUCUCAAGAUCCAGUUAAUGUUUGGCUGUGGGUCUCUGCAUCCGUUUUUAUUAGCUACUGGAUGAAGUCUCUCAGAUGACAGUUUUGCUAGUUUGCUAUCUGCAAGCAUAGCAGAAUAUCAUGGAUAGUAUCAGAGGUGAGCUCCCUCUCAGAGCAUGGGUCUCAAGCUUAGCCAGUCCUUCAUUCUGCUCUAUCUUUAACUACUGCAUGUCCUGUGGGCAGAACAAAUUGUGGGUCUAAGAUUUUGUGGCUGGAUUUGGGUCCCCGUCCCUCUGUUGGAAAUCUUGCCUGAUUACAGGAAAUGACUGAAUGAUUUAAGCUUCCCCAAUUGCUAGGCGUCUCAGCUAGGGUCACCCUCAUAGACUCCUGGGAGUUUCCAUUGUCUCACUCAUCCCAGCCUCUUCUCCAGUUGUGUCUCCUAGUACUCUCUUCUUGCGUCCUCUCUCCACCUCAUCCCUCAUGUUCUUAAACCUACCCUCUCUCCAACCCACUUCCCUCCCUCUAUCCACCCCCACCAUGAUGUCUAAUCAGUUUCUCUCCUUGUUACUCAUCUUCUUUUCAUGUGUAGUUUGUAGCAUGCUAUGGCUCAUAUCUACUUGUAAGUGAGUUCAUAGAAUGUUUAUCUUCCUGGGACUGGUUACCUCACUCAGGAUGAUCUUUUCUAGUUUCAUCCAUUUGCCUGAAAAUUACUUGUCAUUGCUUUUAGUGGUGGAGUAUUACUUCAUUGUAAACCAUGUUUUCUUUAUCCACUCUUUGUUUGAGGGACACCUAUGAUCAGAGAGGCAGGAUGGUUCAACACAUGAAAAUCUGUCAAUGUAAUCCACCAUAUAAACAAACUGAAAGAAAGGAAAAGCCUCAUGAUCAUCAUAUCGGCAUCAUUAGGUGGAAACACCUUUGACAAAACCCAACCUCCCUUCAUGAUAAUGACAUCAGGAACACAAUAAAGACAAUAUCCCCAAAACUCAUAGGCAACAUUAAAUUAUAAAUGAAGAGAAACCUACAGCAAUUCCACUAAAAUCAGUCGUGAUGCAGAGCGGUCCAUUGUCUCCAUUCGAUGCAAUAUUGUUUAGAUUUUGUAGUUUUGGCUGGAGCAUCAAAGGCUAAAGUAGAUCAAGGGAAUACAAAUUGGAAAGGAAGAAUUCAAAAUAUCGCUAUUCACAGAUGGAUAUUAUAGUACACAUAAACGACCCCAAAAAUUUCUACCAGGGAACUCCUAGAGUAGAUAAACACCUCUAGCAAACUGGCUGAAUACAAAUGGUCCACAGUUUUUGCAAGUAAUAAAUGUGUUUAGGUGGGAUACGCAUCGUCCUUUCAGAAGACUUCAAGUAAUUAAUCCUCAACUGGUUGAAAGUCGCCCCAGACCACGAGUAAUACAGAGAAACGUAGGACAAUGCCUUUGUCUGCUGGAGACUCAGAGUUCAUGAUAACUUCCUUGAACAAAGUAUGUAGCACAGGUUCUGUGCAAACAUUGAUUUUGUGCCGCUAAUAGCAAAGACUCCCAUGAAUGUGAGUCAGGAGGCAGUGAAGAGGGCGGACGGCAUUUCCCUUUCAGGCAUGACAUAUGCUUGAUUUCCAAGGUCAAGGCUUCCUAUUUGACUGCCAGCUUUCCCAAUUAGGAAGCCCCAGAGAUCAUUGCCUGAAGGUUGUUCAAGCUGCAGAAGCAUUCAUAAGCACAAACACGUUUUCCGUCCAGCAAAAGUCACUCUAGUUGACUGAAUACAGUUUGUUAUCAUAGAGACUUACCCAUUAGCUCCAGGCAAACCCUGCCAACAACAUUGGUAUUCAAGACAAAAGACAGCCAUCAGUGUAAAUUCUUGUCUACUAUGCAAGGUGUAUCUUUUGAUCUUUUCAGAAAGAGCUGGAAAAUUGGAUGGUAUUUGCAAGAGCCUUUCAGCUGAGAAAUGUCAAUAAUGUAAUCGUGUUGAGACCAGUGCACGGAAUUGACUCGUUGGGAGAUGGAUACAGGUGCAAGGAUGAACUGUGUAUCUGAUUAUUAUAUAGAAGCGAGUUUCUGCAUGAGAUCCUAGGUUGCUAGCCCACGCCAGGAAGCAGCAUUACGAGACCGUGAUGAAUGUUCUGAGCACAUUUCAGAGUGGCAACUGCACAUCUGGAGCUUUCCGGAGAUAGAAAUAGGAAAGUCAAUUGCCCUGUGCUGUUUGCAUUUGCAGCACAUAACCUACCUUCCUCUGCCUGGUGGAUAAUCUCCCGGCUAUAAAAUCAACAGGUCAUUCCAUUUCCCUCAGAGUGAAUCACCCUCACUGUAAUCCGGACCUCUGCAGGUGGAGUACCUGGGGUUUUAUGUUCAUUUUCAUAAGUUGAGUUUUAAGUUUUAAGGUUUUAAUAUGCUGAAGGUUGUGCUGCUGACCUAAUGAGAUACAAGAGAGAUCCCCAAAGAACAACAAUAGUCCAUGGAAACUGGAGUUUACCACGCUCACGUGUACAUUUUGGUUUGACUUUUUCUCUUUCUACGUUUGUUUAGAAUUUUGAAGAAAUUUGUUUCUUAUCUGUGAACAAAUUUAUCUGUAAAAAUAAAAGGGAGAAGAAAAACAGGAUGCCUACAGCAUGACUUUAUUUAAUACUUAACUCUACCUCCAGGAACAGAUAACAUAUUUGGCAGUAUUCUCCAGAUAAAAUAUAUUUAUUAUAAAAAUGAAUAUUGUAACAUUGAUUCACCUCUUUCCUUAAGGUGCAAUAGAUUCUGCUCUUCCACAUGUUCGUGCUUUCUGAGACGUUGGACUCUUGUGUUUUUGACUAGGAAGUGACGGCUUAUACAUAACCUGUACACGACAGCUGAUCCUCCUCAGAGAGAAAGAUAAAAUUGCAAUCUUGAUGAUAAUAUUAACUUUGAAUAUUUACACUAUUGUACUGCUAAGAUUUUUGUAAUUGCUUCUCUACGUUCUCUUAUUUAGUUCCUAAAACACUCUAUUGUGGGCACAGUUAGCAUUGUGACCACAUGCUCGGGAAAGAGAGAUGGAAAGAGACUGAGUAGCAUAGUACCACAGCCUUCGUUGGUGAGAGCUGUAUGAGUUCUGAGUCCUGACUCUAAAUUGAGUGCUGAGUGACCUACCUGCAAGCAAUCAGUUAAGAUUUUAAUUCAAAAGUAUUACCCGUGGAACUAUAAACUUGUUACCAAAUUCGUAUUUCUUGAAGAUUUCCUAUCAACCUCCAGUGUUUUUUAUUUUUAUUUUCUUAAUUUUAUUAUUUAUUUAUUUAUUUAUUUAUUUUUAUUUCUUCCUAACAAGAGAGAAAAUGUUAGGAGACAAGUUCCUCCCAAUGUUUCUUUUCAUGUAUUUUAGGAAUUUAAAUUUAAGGUUCUAUUGAUGACCCAUAGUUAUAGCCCAAGGAUGAAGGCCUUAGGGAUGGGGCUUUGACUGCAGGGGCAUCAGUUUGCUACUAUGUAAUAGAUUCUGACUGAGGAUUUUAACUGAAAGAUGCAGUCUUAAUGUGAGUCACCCUGAGACACAUGGAGAAACAUUCAAUAUAAUAUUAGUGUCUAACAAUAUUGAUUUGGGGCUGGAGUGACUACUCAUGGUUAAGGGUGCUAACCACUCGUACAGAGGAUCUGAGUUUGGGUAGCCAAGCCCUUACCAUUUCCAUCAGAAUUUUCAGUUCCACGAGGUCUGACACCCUCUUCUGGGUUCCACUGUUACCUGUCCUCAUGCACAGCCACACAUAUACAUGUAUUUAAAAAAUAAUAGAACUAAAUCUUAAAACAUGUUAGUGCAUUAGAUAGGUGUAACUCAGUGGUAGAGUACUAAACUACUAUGCAUGUGGCAAGAAUUCUAUUCUUCUUCACUGUAACUUUUUAAAUAAAAAUAAGAUGUUGAACCAGUUUUGCACCACUUGCCAUAUUGUGCUAGCUUUGUUCCCUUAGCCCUGUUACUUAGGCAUGGGACAAAGUCUCUGUUUCCCACCUUAUUUCCAGUGUGGAAUAUAAUCCACAGCCUGACUCUUGUUUUCCUUCUGGUUAGAAGUAUCGAAAAUAAUACAGCUAUAACUUCUAUUAUAUAUUAUAUAUGUGUGAUUGCAUUUAUAAUCAUACAGAUAUGCCAAAAUUCUGCACACAGGAGUAGAACCAUAGGUAGAUUUUGAAGUGCUUUGGAAACAUGGAAGGGGCCUGUGACACUGUAGACUGCAACUCAGAAUGUAGCUGCGAGUGAGCGUAGACAUUCAAGUCCAUGUGUCUAAAGUCAAGUCUGAAGUAGAAGAUACUAUAGCAUCCUUGAUUAGGCUAUAGGUAGGUGUAGCAUCCUUCAUUAGACUGUGAGUAGGCAUAGCAUCCUUCAUUAGACUGUGAGUAGGCAUAGCAUCCUUUAUUAGGCUGUGGGCAGGUAUAGCAUCCUUUAUUAGGCUGUGGGCAGGUAUAGCAUCCUUCAUCAGGUUGUAGGUAGGUAUGUCACGGUUCAUUAGACUGUGGUUAGGUAUGGCAUCCUUCCUUUGAAUUCUGGGUAGGCGAGUCUACUUCAACAUGGAAGACUUUCUGUAGACUGUCUUCCUGCUCACUGGAGAAAAAUGCACAACCUUUGACCAUUUGCUCUUUUCAUCUCUCUGCUUUCCCAUCUUUGAUAAAGGGCAAGUACCUGGGCCAAGAAAACCUACUCAAAAUUUAUACAUACUGGAGGACAAAUGAGUAUAAAGCAAAUUAAUUUCCCACCAUUACUUCUAUAUGAACACAGGAUUUUCAUGACUGAACCCAAGUUGUUGAUGGAAGAAGGACAUUUUUUUCUUCUCCCAAAGGAGAUGCUUAGGAACACAACAGUAAAGAACAUCUUUUCUUUUUGAGAAAGCCUGAAAGUGUUUAUUAUCAUUCCAGAAGUGUUUGUCUCCAAUUCAAUAACAUCAGGGCAGCGUAGAGUGUCUCCUACCUAUCAGAAUGUAGAGACCAAAAGUCCAUUAAAUCCUCAAAUCUUCCUAGAGACACAGAAGUCAAGCAUAAGGAUUUAGACACCAGACAAAUGUUGGACUGCCAGUCAGAGCAAUCAGGAUGCUGGCAAGGGAGAGAUGGGAGUCAGAGGUGGCAUUAGAGGUACUGGCCUUCUGUAUAAGCAUCUAGAGUCACAGAGUGGGGUCAUGAGUAGGUAAGAGAGGCAGAGCACAGAAAGUCAGACGCAAAAGAGCAAUAGUGGACAAAAGGUCACUAUACAAUAGCCCCAAAUAAGUGCCGCCUAGAGCUGUGAGUGCCCGAAAACAGCCAGAGGACUUAGAAAAUAUUCCAUAGCUAUUGCACACGGUGUGUGAAGAAGAAUCUGACACCUACAGAUCAGAAGUGCGGUAAAACAGAGAACUAGUGCCUUUUCUACAGUUGAUACUAAUUUCUACUCGUUGGCUCUCUGCCAGAUGGAGACCUGUGGCAUGAGUAGGAUGUAACUUAUGCUCUAUGUUUAAUAGGACAUUAUCCUGCCUCCAAAGUCACCUUUCAUCUUCAUACACUUCUUAAUGGAGUCUGCAAGAGGACGCUGGAAAGCACUGGGUGGAAUUCAAGGCAGUUGUGAGCUGCGUGGCGUGGGUACUGGGAACUGCAGGUCGGGUCCCCUGGAAGAGGGGUGUACAGGGUUUUAACAGCUGAGCCACAUCGACUCUCUGGACACUGUUUAUAACUAAGUACAAACUAUAUUGUACAUUCGUGUGUGUGUGUGUGUGUGUGUGUGUGUGUGUGUGUGUGUGUGUGUGUGUAUGCAUGUAUAUAGAGGUCAGAGAACACCAGUGUGGACAUGAGUCCCUUGGUCCAAAGUUUAACAGAGGUUCUGAACCUUUGUUGUGGGCACCUUUACCUGCUGAGCCAUCUUGCCUGUGUGAUUCACUUUCAUAUAUAUACAUAUAUAUAUAUGUAUAUAUAUGUAUAUAUAUGCAUAUAUACACACAUACACAUACAUACAUAUGUAUAUAUAUGCAAACAUACAUUAUAUAUAGUUAUAUAUUCACACACAGAUAUAUAUAUAUACGUAUAUAUACAUAUAUACAUAUAUAAUAUAUAUGGCAUAUGCAAAGUUCAACUCUAUCCAUAGUGUCUCUAUCACUAAUCUCUCCCUCAUUUGUCCUCAAGACUCAUAUGGCAGGAACCCUGAGAAUGUGGACUUCUUUUGCUAUUGAAUGCACUGUCUAGUGUGUUCUCUGUUCUGGGUUAUGGGCAUCUGGAUUGAUUCUGAAGUGUUUGAUCUGAAAUCUUGCUGUGUUUUCUUUUAAAAUUAAGAAGAAAAGAGCUUUCUCUGAACAAACAUCCCUUCCUUGUGACAAUUAGAAACACAGCUUUUGUUUUAAUAGGAGUAAAAGAGAAUUUAUUCUUAACCACAUGAAUGGCCUGGCCCUGGGAUAUGGACUCAGGUGGCCUUGGAUAAUAUAUCCUACCAAGCACGAGGUUGUGUGAGCUUUUAAUGCUCUCAAAAGAAAAGAGGAUCUGAAAUCCAGGCAUUUACUAAAUACGCUUCGGGGGUGAAAUCUGAUAGAUGGGUCUCACCAAUCAGGGAGGUCUCUAGUGGAGGUUUUUUAGACUAUCUCGGGAUAUCUUUACUUUUGAGUUGAGACAGAGGGGUACUCGCAGUCUGCUAAGUCUACAACCGUACAGUAAAAUGAAUUUAGGGGAGUUAAUGAUUUGACAUGAGUGCACUCAAAGCAACUGAUCAUCUAACAUGGGAUUGGCUCUAGAACCGCAUGCUACACCCCAACACCCUACCAUCAUGAAAGUUCUCCCAGUCCAUCAGUCUGCAGAAUCAGUGCAGGGUAGCUCUGUCAGAAAACCUCAGCCCACAUUUGGUGCUAUCCAGUCUUCUGAGCCUGUGAUUGUCUAAAGGUGUGCUUCUGCUCAGGCGGACCCUCCUUAGCCAAAGUCUGCAGUGAAUGACCUUGCUCCUCCCAGAACCCAGACAUCAUGCCUCUUCUUCGUUUAGAACUGAUGCUUCAAAAAAUGCCCUUGCUAUGCAGAAGCUAGAGGAGCCAGUUUCCUUUCAGGGUUGAGAGAAGAAAUGCUCAGAACUUAUGACUUCUGUCUGUUCCUCCCACAUUAACCAAAUGCCGGACGGAAGUUGGAAAGCUUCUUUAGGAAGCGCACUAACCCUGCCUCUGUCCCUAAUUCCUUCUUGCUGACUCCAGAGUCUAAAGAAUGUAGCACCUUUCUGCCAGGUGAAACUCACCCUGUGCUAUGAAAACUCCCUCAGAGAGAAGUAAGGUAUAGACUAGUGCAUGCCUUCAAGCCAUUGAUGUUACUGUCAUUCACAGGAGACUUGGUCAUUAUUAGCUAUGCAAAUAUGAGAGAUUAAUAAUCUCCUUUCAUUGCAAUGUCCAUCCAUUUAAUUAAUGUUUAAAAUUAGCUUAUAAUGUAUUGUGGUUCCUGCUGGCAUUUCCUGGUCACAUGGACUAUACACUGUUUUGUUUGCCCCUGCUCACUGUACUUCCCUAUCCUCUCCUCCCUAGGCUGAAUUCUGAAUGUGUAGUUGUCUUACUGAGGUCUGCUUAUUUUGCCUAACAUAAUCAUAAUUUCCAUUUUACACAUGUCCUUGCAAAUGUCACAUACUCAUUUCUCUACAAUGAGAGGAUAACCAAAGAGAAUUCAGCAAAGCGUAGAAACAAACUUGCCCUAAAAUAUAAAGAAAAAUUUCAUAUAUUUUGCUUCUGCUGACACACACUAGUGUUUACACACACAUAUACGUACUUAUUUACUCAUAUAUGUCACUGGUGCACCUGUAGAGUUGUCAUAAUGUACGUUUUUCUGUACCUGGCUAAUUGUCCAUGCCUACCUGUACACUGCGUGGUGAGAUGUGGGCUCCUGUGCUUCUGUGGAGCACCGAUGCUCACACCAUUCUGCUCACACUCACUUUGCAUCUGUCCUUGGAUACCCCAUUGUACCCAUUCCGUACUUUCCCCUUGUUACUAUUGUUCUCUAACUACGUUGCCUUACUUCCAUGUUUUCUGAUUUCUAGAUUUUCUCCAUCCAUAUUUAACCACCACCAGCAGCAAACUCUGCCAUUACCACUUGUAACCUUUGGUGUCCUACGUUAUGGCUCGGGGUGUUGGGUUGCCUUAGUCAAGUCUUCAAUGGGACCCCCACAACAAAGUGCAGGUCCAUCCAUCCAAAGAGGACCUCUCAAGUGUUCCUUUCUUCUCUCGGAUAGUCAGUCCCCUUACUGUCCUUUUUGACAGGAGCAGUUGACAUUGUCCAAUCUCAGGGACACAAAUGACCUUGUAUCUCUUUCUCUUCAACACCUCGUCCUGUGGUGGCAAGUUUCAUUGAUCUGGCUGUGUUCCCUGUCUAAUCCUCAGUCUGUCAUUUCUAACCCAGGUUCUUACUAUUUCACUUUGUUUUGCCUUUUAGAAAAAAAUGACUUGAUAGCACCAAUCAGAGUUCUGUGUCCAUGAUUUUUAAUCACACAAUGUUUAUUUGUUCCAAAUAUUAUAGCUUAUAAGUCCAUCAGCGAGUUUCCAGGAAAAUGCUUACUUAUAACAUGGAAACAUAGUUCCGUGAGGGUGUCCUUCUUACAAAGGGU